UACAGAGGGGGCGAGCGUUGUUCGGAAUUACUGGGCGUAAAGGGCGCGUAGGCGGCCUUCUAAGUCGAACGUGAAAUCCCCGGGCUCAACCCGGGAACUGCGUCCGAUACUGGGAGGCUUGAAUCCGGGAGAGGGAUGUGGAAUUCCUGGUGUAGCGGUGAAAUGCGCAGAUAUCAGGAAGAACACCCGUGGCUAAGGCGGCUCUCUAGUACGGUACUGACGCUGAGACGCGAAAGCGUGGGGAGCGAACAGG
rnacentral:rRNA from 1 species